AUUUUAGAUACUGGUAUAAUAAUUAUUUACGUCACCAAGUUUAGCAGUAUGGAUUUUGAAACAUGCAACUCCAUAGUCGGGAGAUGAUGAGCUUUUAGGUUUUACAUUGGGCUGGCUUCGGUGAGCUUAUGGGCCGGUGACCAACCAUCCCCGAUAGGCCGAACUGGUUAGGGUUUUGGUGGUUAACGCCACCCGGCCCUGUCUCUGUCUCUCUCCCACACGCACACGCACUCGCACUCUCUGUGUGAAAUGCUCGAGCGCCCGAUUUUCUCUCUCAACCCAUCGAGGUAUGAUUAAUGCAGCUUUUGGAGAUCACCUUCUUCCACUGUAUAUUUCGCAAAUUGAGUCGUUUUGUGAUUGUGAUCAUUUGAUACAUCAAUUAGAUUAGUGCAAUUGUUUAAAUUCAUUGGAUUCGCAUGCGGGUGUUAAAUGGCAAGAGGUCCAGCAACUACUCUGUUUCGUAUUUAUGCAUCAAAGAACAGAUUUGUUAGUUCUAGGGUUUUGAUAUCAAGUCGAUACGUCCAUUCUCGUGGAGGAUGGGAUCGCUGCGACCCCCAGAGGAAGCCAACCGGUGCUUUUUAUGAUGUGCCCGACAUUCCCUUUUGGAUGGGUUUGAUGAAUACAAAUAAUCUGCAAUUAGCUUUGCAGAGUUCAAAAUUUAGGAGCCAUAAUUAUACCAUUGGUGCGAAAUCAUUCUCAUCCAUUGUGGAGGAUAGGAAUGAUGUUAAUGAUAGUAGUAAUUGUGUUUCUACAGCAGUAGAAGAUGGGGAUGGGGUAAAUGAGGAUGAUGCUCGCAAUUCAACCGUGAUCGAGUCAGAAUGUAAUAAGGUUGAUGUGGGCAGUGGAAAGAGUGUUGGGUUUGAGCAUGUUGCAUUGCGCAGUCCUGUGGAAUUGUACCACGAGCUUCGCAAUAAUGUAAAAUGUGCAAAGCAAACGCGGUCUGACUGGGAAAUGCUUGCAGAUAUCUUCCGUAGCUUUGCGAGAUCAGGUUGGGCAUCUAAUCAGGCUCUGGCAAUCUACAUUGGUACCUCAUUUUAUCCUACUGCUGUGCAUAAGUUUCGGAACAACUUCUUCUUCAAGAAAUGUUCAGCUGAUGUAGCCAAGUACUUGGUGACGCUUGGUCCAUCUGAUGCUGCUGACCGAUUCCUUUUCCCUAUAUUUGUUGAAUAUUGUUUGGAAGAAUUCCCAGAUGAGAUCAAGCGAUUUAGGAGCAUGAUUGAAUCGGCUGACCUUACAAAACCCCACACUUGGUUUCCCUUUGCACGAGCCAUGAAACGUAAAAUUAUUUAUCAUUGUGGUCCGACUAACAGUGGCAAAACCUACAAUGCUCUGCAGAGCUUCAUGGAAGCAAAGAAUGGUAUAUACUGCAGUCCUCUUAGGUUGUUGGCCAUGGAAGUAUUUGACAAGGUUAAUUCAUUGGGGAUCUACUGUAGCCUUCACACAGGGCAAGAAAAGAAGCAUGUCCCUUUUUCUAACCAUAUUGCUUGUACUGUGGAAAUGGUGUCCACUGAUGAAUUGUAUGAUGUGGCCGUUAUUGAUGAAAUUCAGAUGAUGGCAGACCCAUGUAGAGGUUAUGCAUGGACACGAGCUCUACUUGGGUUAAAAGCUGAUGAAAUACAUUUAUGUGGGGAUCCAAGUGUUCUAAAUAUUGUUCGAAAGAUGUGUUCCGAAACUGGCGACGAGUUGGUUGAAAACCAUUAUGGAAGGUUCAAGCCUUUGGUGGUUGAAGCCAAGACUCUAUUGGGUGAUCUUCAAAAUGUUCGGUCCGGAGACUGUGUGGUUGCAUUCUCUAGGAGAGAGAUAUUUGAGGUGAAAAUGGCAAUUGAGAAACAUACAAAGCACCGAUGUUGUGUUAUUUAUGGUGCCUUGCCACCAGAGACUCGUAGGCAGCAAGCUAGCUUAUUUAAUGAUCAAGAUAAUGAAUUUGAUGUUUUGGUUGCAAGUGAUGCAGUUGGAAUGGGUUUGAAUCUUAAUAUCAGAAGAGUUAUUUUCUACAGUCUUUCUAAGUACAACGGCCACAAGAUUGUUCCAGUUCCAGCAUCACAGGUGAAGCAAAUUGCUGGAAGAGCUGGUCGAAGGGGAUGUCUCUAUCCUGAUGGGCUCACAACAACUCUACAUUUAGAUGAUUUAGAUUAUCUGAUUAAGUGUCUGAAGAAGCCUUUUGAUGAAGUUAAGAAAGUGGGGCUUUUUCCUUUCUUUGAGCAAGUUGAGUUAUUUGCUGGCCAACUCCCAAAUGCGACAUUCUCCCAGCUGCUGGAUAAGUUUGGUGAAAAUUGUCGUCUAGAUGGUUCUUACUUUUUGUGCCAACAUGCUCAUAUCAAGAAGGUAGCAAAUAUGUUAGAGAAAGUCCAGGGAUUAUCACUGGAAGAUCGUUUUAACUUUUGCUUUGCUCCAGUUAAUGUUAGAGACCCAAAAGCCAUGUACCAUCUUAUGAGGUUUGCUUCAUCAUACGGUCAAAAUCUCCCAGUUGGCAUUGCAAUGGGCAUGCCAAAAGGUUCUGCCCGUAACGACUCGGAGCUUUUGGACCUUGAGACUAAGCAUCAAGUCUUGUCUAUGUAUCUUUGGUUGUCUUACCACUUUAAGAAGGAAACUUUUCCAUAUGUGAAGAAAGCUGAGACGAUGGCAGCUGAUAUUGCCAGUUUACUGGGAGAGUCUCUUGCCAAAGCUUGCUGGAAACCAGAAUCAAGGCAGGCAGUGAAACCAAAGCCCCAAAAGAAGGAAGAUGGCUAUGAGAGGCCAAGGUCACUGAUUAAACUCUAUGAAAAAAAAAGGCAAACAAAUUUCUCACUGCACAAUUAUUCAGAGAAGGUGGCUGCCUAGUUUUCUUGCCAGAGAAAAGCCUUCUUUGAUGAAUUUGCGCAUGUGGGUACAUACACAUGCAUAGUGAAUAUGUAAUUAUUCAGCUUUAUGAAUCUUUGCAGAGUUUAGGUGAGGUUGGAGGCAACUUGCUUAAAGCAGAGAGGUGUGUGGGCUAUUGUGAUCCAUCAUCUUAAAAUUCUUUUUUAUGGCUGUCAACCUUCUUUACUAUACUUCCUAAAGAUGUGCAGAUACAUUUAGACAUUUAGUUGAUGAAAAAUUUAGUUUAACACCGAAGGCAGUGGACUGUAGGGCCUUUCAAUACCCAUGAGUUUGUGGAAGAUGACUGGAAUUUUGAGACUUUUGCGGAGUAGCCUAAACAUUUGUUCUCUUCUCUGGUUCAACCAGUUGAAUUUUAGGGUAGUUGUUAUCAAAUUAGACUUGUAUAGUAGAACAUUGCUCUAAAUCUUAUGUUCAAUUUCAGGAUUUGUGUAAUUUCAAGAAAAGCAGGUUGAGGCAGUUGAAGUAGUUUGCAGUCCUGUGGAUACUCACUACUUAAUUGGGAUAUCAUUCAGUCACGUUCUUACAA